rnacentral:rRNA from 1 species
CAGUGCGAUAAGGGGACUCCGAGUGCGAGGGCAUACAGUCCUCGCUUUUGUGYACCGUAAGGUGGUGCACGAAUAAGGGCUGGGCAAGACCGGUGCCAGCCGCCGCGGUAAUACCGGCAGCCCGAGUGAUGGCCGAUAUUAUUGGGCCUAAAGCGUCCGUAGCCGGCCGGACAAGUCCGUCGGGAAAUCCGCCCGCUCAACGGGUGGGCGUCCGGCGGAAACUGUUCGGCUUGGGACCGGAAGACCCGAGGGGUACGUCCGGGGUAGGAGUGAAAUCCCGUAAUCCUGGACGGACCACCGGUGGCGAAAGCGCCUCGGGARGACGGAUCCGACGGUGAGGGACGAAAGCUAGGGUCUCGAACCGGAUUAGAUACCCGGGUAGUCCUAGCCGUAAACGAUGCCCGCUAGGUGUGGCGCAGGCUACGAGCCUGYGCUGUGCCGUAGGGAAGCCGUGAAGCGAGCCGCCUGGGAAG